CCUACAUCAGGUUGGCCCGUGGGCAUGUCCCUGGAGCACUGUCUUGAUUGUUACUGAUGUAGGAAGACCCAGCCCAUGGUGGGAAGCACCACUCCCUUGGCUGGAGUCCUGAACUGUGUAAGAAUGAGGAAGCAAGCUAAGCAUAAGAGAGCAAGCAAGUAAGGAUCCAGGCACUUGUUCCCUCUGCUCUUGCCUAUGGAUACGAUGCUUCAAGCUCCUGCUUUGUCGUCCCAAUAAUAAUAGACUGGAACCUACAACUGAAAGGACACAGAAAUGGGCCCCAUCAAGCACCCUCCAUUCUGCAAGCCUCACCUGGGUCGGUGAGCAGAGAGCUGUACCCACCAGCCCUGGAGAACAACCAUGACAGGAUGCAAAAAAAAGCAUGUGUUUGGCUUGGAUUUCCUUCUUUCUACCUCUUUCUCUUUCAUCUCUCCUUUCCUCCCCUUCACUCUUGUUCUUCUAGCUAUAUGAAGCAGGUCUCACAGUAAGUGUGGCUGAAAUAUCUCAGGAAUGUGCUUGACAGAAACAGAGUUUACAGAGACAGUUUAAAUUACACAAAUGGUCCAAGAAGAUGACUCAGCCAGUAUAGGUGUUUGCCACAAAAUCCUGGUAACUCGAGUUCAAACCCUGGAGCUUAUAUAAAAGGAGAAGGAGAGAACCAGUGCCACACAGCUGUCCUCAAGCUU